UACGUAGGGGGCAAGCGUUGUCCGGAAUCAUUGGGCGUAAAGCGCGUGUAGGCGGCUCGGUAAGUCUGCUGUGAAAGUCCAGGGCUCAACCCUGGAAAGCCGGUGGAAACUGUCGAGCUAGAGUCCGGAAGAGGCGAGUGGAAUUCCUGGUGUAGCGGUGAAAUGCGCAGAUAUCAGGAGGAACACCUGUGGCGAAAGCGCCUCACUGGACCAUAACUGACGCUGAGGCACGAAAGCGUGGGUAGCAAACAGG
rnacentral:rRNA from 1 species